rnacentral:rRNA from 1 species
AAUCAACGCUGGCGGCGUGCCUAACACAUGCAAGUCGAACGCGAAAGUUCCUUCGGGGAUGAGUAGAGUGGCGUCCGGGUGAGUAACGCGUGGGUAAUCUGCCUUUGGGUGGGGAAUAACCCAGGGAAACUUGGGCUAAUACCGCAUAAUGCAGCGGCUCGACAUCGAGACGGUUGUUAAAGCAGCAAUGUGCCUGGAGAGGAGCCUGCGUCUGAUUAGCUAGUUGGAGGGUAAUGGCCUACCAAGGCGACGAUCGGUAGCUGGUCUGAGAGGACGACCAGCCACACUGGGACUGAGACACGGCCCAGACUCCUACGGGAGGCAGCAGUGGGGAAUAUUGGACAAUGGGCGCAAGCCUGAUCCAGCGAUGCCGCGUGUGUGAAGAAGGCCUGCGGGUUGUAAAGCACUUUCAGU